CGGCCGCGGUAUCCUAACCGUGCAAAGGUAGCAUAAUCACUUGCCUAUUAAUUGUAGGCUAGAAUGAAAGGAUAAACGAAAUAUAAGCUGUCUCUAUGAGCACAAUAAAAAUUAAUCUCUAACUGAAGAGUGUUAGAUAGAGUCGAAGGACAAGAAGACCCUAUAGAGCUUUAUCUAAAUAAGAAGUAAUUUAUAAGAUUCGGUUGGGGCGACCAAGGAUACCUUUAAUCAUCCUUCAUUAAUAGAUUUAUAAAUCCCAAUUUUGAUAUUAUAAAUCAAGCUACCUUAGGGAUAACAGGCUAAUCCUGCUAGAGAGUCCUUAUCUAAAGCAGGGAUUGGCACCUCGAUGUUGGCUUAGGGAAACUAUGUGAUGCAAAAGUUACAUAAAGAUGGUUUGUUCAACCAAUAAAUCCCUACAUGAGCUGAGUUCAGACCGGCGUAAGCCAGGUUAGUUUCUAUCCACGACCCUAACUAUAGUACGAAAGGACCUAGAUAAGGGUAAUUCAACAAAAGAAUUAAUAUAAUCAAUCUAUAAUAUUAAAAACUAU
rnacentral:rRNA from 1 species